CGGCUAACUACGUGCCAGCAGCCGCGGUAAUACGUAGGGCGCAAGCGUUAUCCGGAAUUAUUGGGCGUAAAGAGCUCGUAGGCGGUUUGUCGCGUCUGCUGUGAAAGUCCGGGGCUCAACCCCGGAUCUGCGGUGGGUACGGGCAGACUAGAGUGAUGUAGGGGAGACUGGAAUUCCUGGUGUAGCGGUGAAAUGCGCAGAUAUCAGGAGGAACACCGAUGGCGAAGGCAGGUCUCUGGGCAUUAACUGACGCUGAGGAGCGAAAGCAUGGGGAGCGAACAGGAUUAGAUACCCUGGUAGUCCAUGCCGUAAACGUUGGGCACUAGAUGUG
rnacentral:rRNA from 1 species